rnacentral:tRNA from 1 species
AUCCUAGGGGGUGGGUGGAAGGCUGGUUAAACCGUUGGUUUUCGACCACUACGACCCGGGUUCGAUUCCCGCAUUGGACA